AGUGAACGCUGGCGGUAGGCCUAACACAUGCAAGUCGAACGGCAGCACAGUAAGAGCUUGCUCUUACGGGUGGCGAGUGGCGGACGGGUGAGGAAUACAUCGGAAUCUACUUUUUCGUGGGGGAUAGCGUAGGGAAACUUACGCUAAUACCGCAUACGACCUACGGGUGAAAGCAGGGGAUCUUCGGACCUUGCGCGAUUGAAUGAGCCGAUGCCGGAUUAGCUAGUUGGCGGGGUAAAGGCCCACCAAGGCGACGAUCCGUAGCUGGUCUGAGAGGAUGAUCAGCCACACUGGAACUGAGACACGGUCCAGACUCCUACGGGAGGCAGCAGUGGGGAAUAUUGGACAAUGGGCGCAAGCCUGAUCCAGCCAUACCGCGUGGGUGAAGAAGGCCUUCGGGUUGUAAAGCCCUUUUGUUGGGAAAGAAAAGCAGCAGGUUAAUACCCCGCUGUUCUGACGGUACCCAAAGAAUAAGCACCGGCUAACUUCGUG
rnacentral:rRNA from 1 species